AUACCUUUCUCGGCCUUUUGGCUAAGAUCAAGUGUAGUAUCUGUUCUUAUCAGUUUAAUAUCUGAUAUGUGGGUCAUUGGCUCACACGAUAUUAAAUUACUUUUUUAAAGGGGAGAGGCCAUUACAGUAGCUUGCUACCUGGUCUCUCAUUUGUCGCCUUAGUGUUGUACUAAAGCUUUGGCCAGGCCUACCCUCC